rnacentral:rRNA from 1 species
GACGAACGCUGGCGGCGUGCUUAACACAUGCAAGUCGAGCGGUAAGGCCCUUUCGGGGGUACACGAGCGGCGAACGGGUGAGUAACACGUGGGUGACCUGCCCUCAGCUCUGGGAUAAGCCUGGGAAACUGGGGUCUAAUACUGGAUAUGACUCCACGGUGCAUGUCGUGGGGUGGAAAGCCUUGUGCGGCUGAGGAUGGGCCCGCGGCCUAUCAGCCUUGUUGGGUGGGGGAUGGCCUACCAAGGCGACGACGGGUAGCCGGCCUGAGAGGGCGACCGGCCACACUGGGACUGAGACACGGCCCAGACUCCUACGGGAGGC